UGGAAAAACCCCAAUAGAAAGGUCACUCUUAACUGAAAGCGAAAGCAUAGAAGCAAGUUCAGAGUGCAAAGCAGAGAGUGGGGACACCAGCCAGUAUGCUCCAAGCUGCAGGGACAUCUGAUAACUCUCCAAGAUGCAGAGACGUCUGAUCUUUAAGAAAGUUAUGAAGCCGUGUGGCAUUUCUCAUGACAGAAACUAUUUGAUAAUCUGUGGAGAAAAUAAGUAAGCACCAUGCGAUCACUUGGAAGAAGAAAGCAUCCACUGAGGCAAGGAGGUCUUCGGUCCUUUUAUGGGAAAACUUUAUGGGAGAACUUCUAUUGUUAAAGGAAGCGUUUUGCAAGAAGCUUCCUUCUCUGUGGAACUUAGUGGUGGGAGCUGAGCAUUGUUGUUAACAACAAUUAAAAUAUUUUCUCAGCCAUUUGCCAUUUUAUAUUCUGGGGGAUGUGGAAGCCCUGGGGAGAUGAUUUGUGCCUACUUGAAAGACAAUUUGUCAUCUUAGAAGGUGUUUUGGUGACAAGAGGUACUUUUGGGGGGUUCUUUUGUGACAUGGAUAGAUUAUGGAAGAUUUUUAGUUGGAGUAAUUUUGAUUCACAAUGUUCAGCUGGCAUUUAUGCCCUCAGUGUCCUUGUGGCCAGAAGUCGGGAUUCCGACUUAAAUUGGCAGGGCUCUGACGACAUGGUACUCUUGCACAGGGCGGAGUUUAUUUGGAGAACUGGCUGUCAUGGUUAGAGCGUCUGAGAGAUCCCACGGUAAACUGGGAAGGUGGAUCUGCCGUCAGUCUAAGUUUGAAGACUUCAGGACCAAGAAACCUCUCAGUCUGAGGCUGAAGGCUCAGAAACCCAAAUGGUUGUGAGUGCAGGUCUCAGAGUCCAAAGUCUGGAGACCCUGCAGGGUUGAUGCCCCAGACCAAAAGGAUACUCUGGUUUCUUGAGAAAUAAAUAAUAGUAAGUGAAUUUGCUUUUCUUUGUUCCUGUUUUCUAUCCGCAGCUCAGCGGAUUGGAUCGUGCCCAGCUACAGAGGGCGACAGUGGAGCUUCUGUGGUAUCCUGAUUUCAUGGCGCCGUUGUUCUAGGAACGUCUUCCCAGGCACACGUAGAAUGAUGUUGUGCUGAUCCGAGAAGUUGGAAUAAUCUCUCCAAGGUGCUGACCCACAGGAACAGGAUAGGAAUCAUAUAAGCAAUUGAAACUUUUCUAGAACCGUCUUCAACGUGUAUAAGGAAAACAGUGUAACUAAUUGAAAUAGUACAUUUUGUUUAAGAUAUCAGAUUCCAAAAAGUAUUAUUUCAACAGAUAAUCAAUAAAAUGUAUUUAUUUUAUAUCCCA